rnacentral:rRNA from 1 species
UACGGGGGGGGCAAGCGUUGUUCGGAAUUACUGGGCGUAAAGGGCUCGUAGGUGGCCAACUAAGUCAGACGUGAAAUCCCUCGGCUUAACCGGGGAACUGCGUCUGAUACUGGAUGGCUUGAGUUCGGGAGAGGGAUGCGGAAUUCCAGGUGUAGCGGUGAAAUGCGUAGAUAUCUGGAGGAAUACCGGUGGCGAAGGCGGCAUCCUGGACCGGCAUUGACGCUGAUGAGCGAAAGCUAGGGGAGCAAACGGG